rnacentral:ncRNA from 1 species
UUUUUUACGCAUAUGUAAUCACCUCAAUACAUUUUACUGUUCCUGUUGGGUUUCUAACAGGUAUAGAAAAACGUGUUAUAUGGUUCAUCAGUUCCUAAUGUGUGUAAAAAGAACAAAAUUACUGUUAUACGGUAAAUAAAAAAAACCGUUAUCGGCAGUAACCUUUUUGCAUAUCCAAAAAUAUUUCUGAUUUGAUGGCGGUCAAGAUAAAGCCGCCGUUUUUCUUUUUCCUC